rnacentral:rRNA from 1 species
UGGGGAAUUUUGGACAAUGGGCGCAAGCCUGAUCCAGCAAUGCCGCGUGCAGGAUGAAGGCCUUCGGGUCGUAAACUGCUUUUGGACGGAACGAAAAGGCACUGGUUAAUACCUGGGGCUCAUGACGGUACCGUAAGAAUAAGCACCGGCUAACUACGUGCCAGCAGCCGCGGUAAUACGUAGGGUGCAAGCGGUAAUCGGAAUUACUGGGCGUAAAGCGUGCGCAGGCGGUGUGAUAAGACAGAAGUGAAAUCCCCGGGCUCAACCUGGGAACUGCGUUUGUGACUGCAUAACUAGAGUACGACAGAGGGAGGUGGAAUUCCGCGUGUAGCAGUGACAUGCGUAGAUAUGCGGAGGAACGCCGAUGGCGCAGGCAAUCCCCUGGGCCUGUACUGACGCUCAUGCACGAAAGCGUGGGGAGCAAACA